rnacentral:rRNA from 1 species
AGAGACAGCAGCAGCCGCGGGAAUACGAAGGGUGCAAGCGUUACUCGGAAUUACUGGGCGUAAAGCGUGCGUAGGUGGUGGUUUAAGUCCGUUGUGAAAGCCCUGGGCUCAACCUGGGAAUUGCAGUGGAUACUGGAUCACUAGAGUGUGGUAGAGGAUAGUGGAAUUUCCGGUGUAGCAGUGAAAUGCGUAGAGAUCGGAAGGAACAUCUGUGGCGAAGGCGGCUAUCUGGGCCAACACUGACACUGAGGCACGAAAGCGUGGGGAGCAAACAGGAUUAGAUACCCGCGUAGUCCCUGUCUCUUAUAC